GACGAACGCUGGCGGCGUGGAUUAGGCAUGCAAGUCGAACGGUAUCAUCCUUUCGGGGGUGAGAGAGUGGCGAACUGGUGAGUAACACGUAGGUUAUCUACCCUCAAGACGGGGACAACCCAGGGAAACUUGGGCUAAUACCGGAUGUGAGCAACUUUUAGUUGUUUGAAAGGUGGCGUAAGCUGUCGCUUGGGGAUGAGCCUGCGUCCUAUUAGUUAGUUGGUGAGGGUAACGGCUCACCUAGGCAAUGAUAGGUAGGCGGCCUUAACGGGUGGUCGCCCCAACUGGGAUUGAGAUACGGCCCAGACUCCUACGGGAGGCAGCAGUCGAGAAUAGUCUACAAUGGUCGGAAGACUGAUAGUGCGACGCCGCGUGAACGAUGAAUCCCUUCGGGGUGUAAAGUUCUUUUAUAUGUGAGCAGUGCUUCUUAUAUUAACAGUAUGGGGAGUAGAGAUAUUAGCAAUAUGAAUAAGCAACGGCUAACUCCGUGCCAGCAGCCGCGGUAAU
rnacentral:rRNA from 1 species